rnacentral:rRNA from 1 species
UUACCUACGGGGGGCAGCAGUGAGGAAUAUUGGUCAAUGGCCGAAAGGCUGAACCAGCCAAGCCGCGUGAGGGAAGACGGCCCUACGGGUUGUAAACCUCUUUUGUCGGGGAGCAAAGCGAGUCACGUGUGACUCAUUGAGAGUACCCGAUGCAAAAGCAUCGGCUAACUCCGUGCCAGCAGCCGCGGUUAUACGGAGGUGGCAAGCGUUAUCCGGAUUUAUUGGGCGUAAAGGGAUUACAGGCGGACUUUUACG